rnacentral:siRNA from 1 species
AACCUGAGAAAAAUAAAAACGACC